GCCCGUGGUAGUACUGCUGAGUGGUGGUGACACAAAAAGGCAUGAGGGAGACGAGGAGGCAGGCAGGCAUUGGCAUGAUCAAAGCAAGCAAGCGAGCUAGCAGCAGUGAAGGAAAAGGGAUGCAUGCAGUUUAAAAAGACAAGUGAAAAGUCAUGGCCUGUCUUGAUGUGACACCUCCUACUACUCCCUGGCAGCAGGCAGGGCCUGGCCUGGCUACAGCGUCAGGUCGAUCAGGAUGCUCCUGCAGCUGCAUGCUCUGCCCCGUAUUAUUGGUUCGUUAAGCUAGCAGCGAUGCAACAUGGGAGCUGGCCAGCUUUCCAGGGGUCGAUCCAGCAUCAGUCCUCGAUCUCCUCGUAUAUAUGCUCAUCUCUGAAAAAAGACUAGCAGUACUCUGGUUAAUUCCACUCUGGCUAGCUGCUCGUCUCUGAAUAGGUAGUUUGCAUUCUUUUUUCUUUUCUUUUUUGACAUGGAGCCGUUGAGUGUUGAUACAUACUUGCUAGGAUUCAAGGCACUGCCAGGGAAAAAAUAAUUAGGCCGUAUGCAGAACAGUAUGCUAAACUCUUUAUCUUUUGUUGGGUUUGCCAAAGAUCAAUCACAUGAAGAUCACGCAAACGAUCACACGAUUAUCUGGCCAAGGGCGCGUACAACCUUGCACCCUUGGAUGUGUAUAUAUACACGUCCAACUAGCUAGGA
rnacentral:lncRNA from 1 species